AUAAUUUCCCCCGCACAGCGGACACGUAAACAAUUCAAACAAAAGACAACGACAUAACCUCCUUCCUCUCCUCUGAAAACCCAGGGAGGGUUGAGCUCAGUCAGAGAGCUGUUGAGGGACUGGUUAGGAAGAACAUUUCUAUAGACAGAGAGUGGCAGUCAAGAAAUGGAACGGCAAGGCCACAAAACAUGACAUAAGCAGUGCUGUGGGAGACCACCUCAAGCCCCAGGUAGAGCCAGGGGUGGUGUUUACCACUCCACCACGCCUUCAGCAGGCUUGAAAAGUUGGAUUGAUCCGUUUGAUCCACUUGUUUGUUUCUGUUUCCUGUAGUUUAAUCCUUUGACAUGGGAUUGAUACUGAUUUUCAUACUAAGAGGGACCAAGAGUCUUUCGAUUGGUCGGUCAUUGGGUUCAUAUACAGUGGGGAGAACAAGUAUUUGAUA